rnacentral:misc_RNA from 1 species
GAUGAAGAACGUAGCGAAAUGCGAUAAGUAAUGUGAAUUGCAGAAUUCAGUGAAUCAUCGAAUCUUUGAACGCACAUUGCGCCCUCUGGUAUUCCGGGGGGCAUGCCUGUUCGAGCGUCAUUAUAACCACUCAAGCUCUCGCCUGGUAUUGGGGUUCGCGGUUCCGCGGCCCCUAAAAUCAGUGGCGGUGCCUGUCGGCUCUACGCGUAGUAAUACUCCUCGCGAUUGAGUCCGGUAGGUCUACUUGCCAGCAACCCCCAAUUUUUACAGGUUGACCUCGGAUCAGGUAGGGAUACCCGCUGAACUUAAGCAUAUCAAUAAGCGGAGGA